GCAUUUCCGUUGUUCAAAUUUCAAAAAUUUUCUGGGGGGUACACCCCCAUACACCUGACCAUUGCUAUCCUCCUCUAAUAAGUAAUGAUAAAUGAUGGUUAUUUUUUUUUUUACUUUUUGUGCGUUUCUUCCUUUAUUUAUUUCAAAUACAAGUAUAGUUAGGAUAAAUUUUGGAGCAAAUUUGGAUGCUCAGAAUGCAGGAAAUGACAUUUCCGGGAGUCAAAUUUCGAAAAUUUUCUGGGGGAGUACACCCCCAGACCCCCCAUUCAUGCGUGGUAUAUUUGCCACACACGUGGUUUUCAGCCAUUGCUAUCCCCCUCUAAUAUAUUAUCUCACAGAAAGGUCCCUUUUCAAAAAAUGCCCCCCACGGGAAAAUCCUUAAAAAAGGCCCUGCAAUGCAGUUUGAAAAAACUUAUAUUGCUUUUCCAGUGAGAUCAUUGUUUGAAAAGUCAACAUGGACAUUAAAUUAUAUCACUACUCUUACCACUAAUAAUCUGCUUUCCCAUUCUUUAGUGUUCCCGAUCGUGUGGGUAUGGUUAUCAACUACGAAGAGUAAAAUGCGAACAUAAAUUAACCAAAAAACUAGGUGGUCCAUGCAACCGAUUACAAAAGCCCUCGGAAAUACGACUAUGCAGGAACAGACAGUGUUAAAAUAUUUAAAAUGAAGAAAUAAUUUGAAUUUGUUCUAUGUCGCGUUACGCAAGUCAAGAAAUGGUUGGGUAUCAUACCAAAAAGGACGGUUAUUACUAUUAAGGAUUUUGAAGCUGAGAUGGGUUUUAUCAGAACUGCCUGAUAAUGACUAAAGACAGUUCGACGUUUCAAGACCUGAAGCACGUCCCGAGAAGGUACCCAACACAUUUUCAGAAAACAUAGAAUUGAAAAGGCGUCAACGCGAUAUAGACUAGUCGUAAAGUCUACAGUAAUAGACUUGUUCAGUUACAAUUAACGAGUAUUUAUGUCGAUUGCCAUCCAAUUCACUCACGUAUAUAAUUUAAAUGCUUGGUUACCUUUGUUCCAUUCUAUGCUAACACUAUCAGAACAGUAGCAGUAUUUGAUGUAGUAGCAGUUAGGGUUAAUAGCAGUAGUUGUUAUGUUUGUAUGUAGUAUACAUAAUUUAGAAGGUUGGUUAUCUUUGUUCCAUUCCGUGUUUACAUUAUCAGAACAAUGGUAACUAGGUAUGCGAGUUAUCCCGCCCAAUUCACUCACAUAUUUCUAUGCUAACACUAUCAGAACAUGGUUACCUUUGUUUCAUUCUACGCUUACAUUAUCAGAAGAAUGGUAACUAGGCAUGUGAGUUAUCCCACCCAAUUCACUCGCAUAUAUAACUUAACAUGCUUGGUCACUCACAUAUAUAAUUUCAAUGCUUGGUUAUCUUUGUUUCAUUCUAUGCUUACAUUAUCAGAAGAAUGGUAACUAGGCAUGUGAGUUAUCCCACCCAAUUCACUCGCAUAUAUAAAUGCUUGGUUAUCUUUGUUCCAUUCUAUGCUUACAUUAUCAGAACAGUGGUAACUAGGCAUGUGAGUUAUCCCACCCAAUUCACUCGCAUAUAUAAAUGCUUGGUUAUCUUUGUUCCAUUCUAUGCUUACAUUAUCAGAACAGUGGUAACUAGGCAUGUGAGUUAUCCCACCCAAUUCACUCGCAUAUAUAAAUGCUUGGUUAUCUUUGUUCCAUUCUAUGCUUACAUUAUCAGAACAGUGGUAACUAGACAUGUGAGUUAUUUGGAAAUGUGAAUUGGAUGACAACAGGCAUCAAAUGCGUUUAAUAGGUGACUAAGUCUAUUUGCAUAGCUCAUCUGGGCUAAUUGGUAUACAGAUCGUUUUGAAGACCAUGAUGAAAUUACGGCUGGCUUUACCAUCUGAAAGAGCUCAUUCUUUAAUUCUUGAAAGCUUCUGGAAAGACGCCAAAGUCGAACUGCGUUAGUUGGAUUUAUUUCUUUCAUCUACAUCGUAUAUUUUUCUUUCAAAAUUUCAAAGAAAACUUGAAUAAAAGAAUUAUAAUUAAAGACAUACUGAUGUACAGUACAAUUAUUAAAAUUGAAAUAUUUUUGUAAUGUAAGAUAGGUAGAAUAUAAACAUUUGUUAGAAUUGCUUUGACCGUUGUUUCAUUUGAUUCUUACUUGCUAAAGGCGGAUUUCCAGUCCUCGCACGAAGCUCCUCGCAGCUCGCUGCGAGUGCAUGUAUGAGCAC